CAAUAAGUACCCGGACAACAAAAUGGGAUGUUUAGUGCCUGACGGGACAGCUUGGUGGGGUAACAAGAGGCGUGAUGCGUCUGCCUCCCUUCAAAGCAUCUCUGCAUUGCUUUAAGAAUAUUCUGCAAGUUUAAAGCUGAUGAAGGAAGACGUACAGCAGCUAUAGUCACCAUACACUAGGCUGAAGCCCCUGUCCAUAGCUAAGGGGGCUGAUUGCUUAGAUGAAAGGAGGGUAGGCCUUGGUGAGGGAGGGGGCAGGGCAUCUGGAGCAAUGCAAUAUGCAAAGUUUGAGUGUCUGGUGAAGUAGUAAGAAGCAUGAUGUCUGUUUCCUCCACUCACAGCUCACUUGGGGCCUUGGAGCUGGAGAACACAAAGGAAGAACAAACAACAGCAGACCUGAUGGUUCUUACGAGGCUGUUUGUGACAAGCUACACUAACUAUCUAAUCAAAGGUGGAAGAUGAAGGACAGCAAGAUGAAGAAGCGUCUCUCAGCCCUUCCUCUCGGGUGCCGGCUUUGUCAAACUCUUCAUGGAAAUUUGCACUGACCUCAUCAUGGCAGAGACUGGGCAUGCAACUCUUUGCUGCACAAGGCGACCCAUUGUAGUAGCACUGUUGUGUUCCCCAGUGACCUGCCGACCACUGUGCUGCUGAUCAAGUUUGUGGAGGAGGGAGACAGUGCGGUGGGCACAGUCAUGCUGCUCAACUUUCUCAAUGCUUGGAAGGUCCAGGAGCAAGCUGCAACAUGGACGAUGCCUUUUCUUGGAAAAAUAUGUUUUGGAGCCCAACACCACAGAGGUUGCCAGGAGUGAAAUUUUUAUAUUCAAAAGAACCGUCCAGCCGCCCCGGAGAGCCCAGCGACCACACCCUGCAAGACAGCCUGCUCAUCCCGGGACACACACAGCCUCACAUUGGGACUCUUCAAGCAUUAGACUGACGGGACGAGAACAACAACAACAACAACAACAACAACAACAACAACAAGAGGAGGAGGGGGAGGAGGGUGGUACACAGGAGUGACUGAGUGUGUGGUGUGUCGCUUGCAGAGACAGCGCAGGCGGACCAAGACGCCCGAACCUUCAGAUGUUCGUUCAGCCGUUCGAUUCUGCCGAGGGAAAGAAGUCAUGUUAGUCAACUCUGAUGACUUGUACAUCUCUGUGGACUCUACUCUGCUAGGGACUGUUUUGUAAGCCAGUCACGGAAGAUGUGAACUGAAUCUGUACUAUGAAGUCUUAUAAAUAAAGUUAUGGGCCACA